UACGUAGGGUGCAAGCGUUGUCCGGAUUUAUUGGGCGUAAAGGGCUCGUAGGCGGUUUUUCGCGUCGGGAGUGAAAUCCACUGGCUUAACUGGUGGCUUGCUUUCGAUACGGGCAGACUGGAGGUAUGCAGGGGAGAACGGAAUUCCUGGUGUAGCGGUGAAAUGCGUAGAUAUCAGGAGGAAUACCGGUGGUGUAGACGGCUCUCUGGACCGCAACUGACGCUGAAACACGAAAGCGUGGGUAGCAAACAGG
rnacentral:rRNA from 1 species